UACAGAGGUCUCAAGCGUUGUUCGGAUUCAUUGGGCGUAAAGGGUGCGUAGGCGGCGCGGUAAGUCGGGUGUGAAAUCUUGGAGCUUAACUCCGAAACUGCAUUCGAUACUGCCGUGCUUGAGGACUGGAGAGGAGACCGGAAUUUACGGUGUAGCGGUGAAAUGCGUAGAUAUCGUAAGGAAGACCAGUGGCGAAGGCGGGUCUCUGGACAGUUCCUGACGCUGAGGCACGAAGGCCAGGGGAGCAAACGGG
rnacentral:rRNA from 1 species